AUUGAACGCUGGCGGCGUGCUUAACACAUGCAAGUCGAUCGGUAACAGGUGUAGCGAUACAUGCUGACGAGAGGCGGACGGGUGAGUAAUGCUUGGGAAUCUGCCUAUUAGUGGGGGACAACCCGGGGAAACUCGGGCUAAUACCGCAUACGCUCUACGGAGGAAAGCCGGGGACCGCAAGGCCUGGCGCUAAUAGAUGAGCCCAAGUCGGAUUAGCUAGUUGGUAGGGUAACGGCCUACCAAGGCGACAAUCCGUAGCUGGUCUGAGAGGACGACCAGCCACACCGGAACUGAGACACGGUCCGGACUCCUACGGGAGGCAGCAGUGGGGAAUAUUGGACAAUGGGGGCAACCCUGAUCCAGCGACGCCGCGUGGGUGAAGAAGGCCUGCGGGUUGUAAAGCCCUUUCGGUGGGGAAAGAAAAGUCUCGACCUAAUACGUCGGGACCUUGACGUAACCACUAAAGAAGCACCGGCUAACUCUGUGCCAGCCGCCGC
rnacentral:rRNA from 1 species